rnacentral:rRNA from 1 species
CCACCCUAAAUGCCCCAGAUCUCAUCAGAUGUUGGAAGCUAAGCAGGUUUGGACCUGGUUAGUACUUGGAUGGGAGAAACAAGGG